rnacentral:rRNA from 1 species
GCAUGCAGGUGGUUUGUUAAGUCAGAUGUGAAAGACCCGGGGCGUCAACCUCGGAAUUGCAUUUGAAACUGGCAAACUAGAGUACUGUAGAGGGGGGUAGGAAUUUCAGGUGUAGCGGUGAAAUGCGUAGAGAUCUGAAGGAAUACCGGUGGCGAAGGCGGCCCCCUCGGACAGAUACUGACACUCAGAUGCGAAAGCGUGGGGAGCAAACAGGAUUAGACUACCCUGGUAG